GGUUGUGUAGUGUAGUGGUUAGCACAUUGGAUUUUGAAGCCUUCCAAUAACCCCGGUUCGAAUCCGGGCACGACCU